UAAGUAGGGUAAAUGAUCGCGGCUGCAAAAUCUGCAGACGAGGAAAGUCCGGGCUUCACAGGGCAGGAUGCCGGAUAACGUCCGGUGGAGGCGACUCCAAGGAAAGUGCAACAGAAAUAUACCGCCAGUUUUACUGGUAAGGGUGGAAGGGCAGUGUAAGAGACUACCGCCUCCCUGGUAACAGGGAGGGCAUAUGUAAACCCCAUUCGAAGCAAGACCAAACAUAAGCGUUGACGUGGCCCGCCAGCUUUAGGUAGGUUGCUUGAGGCGGCUGGUAACAGUCGUCCUAGAUAGAUGAUCAUUCACGACAUAACCCGGCUUAUCGCCCUGCUUAUUUU
rnacentral:RNase_P_RNA from 1 species